rfam:Actinoplanes utahensis strain NRRL 12052 contig133, whole genome shotgun sequence.
ACCGGUCCUCGGUAGUGGUUCCCAGGUGACUUCCCUGGGCACUUCGAUCGAAGACCGGC